UACGAAGGGGGCUAGCGUUGUUCGGAAUUACUGGGCGUAAAGGGCGCGUAGGCGGUACUUCAAGUCAGGCGUGAAAGCCCCGGGCUCAACCUGGGAAUGGCAUUGGAAACUGGCGGGCUUGAGUGUGGCAGAGGGGGGUGGAAUUCCGCGUGUAGCAGUGAAAUGCGUAGAGAUGCGGAGGAACACCGGAUGGCGAAGGCAGCCCCCCUGGGCUGACACUGACGCUCAGGCACGAAAGCGUGGGGAGCAAACAGG
rnacentral:rRNA from 1 species